GACGAACGCUGGCGGCGUGCUUAACACAUGCAAGUCGAACGCUGAAGCUCAGCUUUUGUUGGGUGGAUGAGUGGCGAACGGGUGAGUAACACGUGAGUAACCUGCCCCCUUCUUUGGGAUAACGCCCGGAAACGGGUGCUAAUACUGGAUAUUCACUGGUCUUCGCAUGGGGGUUGGUGGAAAGGGUUUUUCUGGUGGGGGAUGGGCUCGCGGCCUAUCAGCUUGUUGGUGGGGUGAUGGCCUACCAAGGCUUUGACGGGUAGCCGGCCUGAGAGGGUGACCGGUCACAUUGGGACUGAGAUGCGGCCCAGGCUACUACGGGGGGCAGCAGUGGGGAAUAUUGCACAAUGGGCGCAAGACUGAUGCAGCGACGCCGCGUGAGGGAUGGAGGCCUUCGGGUUGUGAACCUCUUUAGCUCAUGGUCAAGCCGCAACAAUGGUUGUGGUGAGGGUAGUGGGUAAAGAAGCGCCGGCUAACUACGUG
rnacentral:rRNA from 1 species